GACGUAGGGCGCGAGCGUUGUCCGGAUUUAUUGGGCGUAAAGAGCUCGUAGGCGGCUUGUCGCGUCAACUGUGAAAACCCGUGGCUCAACCAUGUGGUCUGCAGUCGAUACGGGCAGGCUAGAGUUCGGUAGGGGGAGACUGGAAUUCCUGGUGUAGCGGUGAAAUGCGCAGAUAUCAGGAGGAACGACCGGUGGCGAAGGCGGGUCUCUGGGC
rnacentral:rRNA from 1 species